rnacentral:rRNA from 1 species
GAUGAACGCUGGCGGCGUGCCUAAUACAUGCAAGUCGAGCGAACAGACGAGGAGCUUGCUCCUCUGACGUUAGCGGCGGACGGGUGAGUAACACGUGGAUAACCUACCUAUAAGACUGGGAUAACUUCGGGAAACCGGAGCUAAUACCGGAUAAUAUAUUGAACCGCAUGGUUCAAUAGUGAAAGACGGUUUGCUGCCACUUAUAGAUGGAUCCGCGCCGCAUUAGCUAGUUGGUAAGGGAACGGCUUACCAAGGCAACGAUGCGUAGCCGACCUGAGAGGGUGAUCGGCCACACUGGAACUGAGACACGGUCCAGACUCCUACGGGAGGCAGCAGUAGGGAAUCUUCCGCAAUGGGCGAAAGCCUGACGGAGCAACGCCGCGUGAGUGAUGAAGGUCUUCGGAUCGUAAAACUCUGUUAUUAGGGAAGAACAAAUGUGUAAGUAACUAUGCACGUCUUGACGGUACCUAAUCAGAAAGCCACGGCUAACUACGUG